GAGCUUAUAGUAAUGAUUUCUGAAAGUUGAAAGACGCUUUGUCUGCAGUCAUGCGAAAAGAAGCAGUUCUGGAUUCCUUGCUAAAUCUCGCUUUACAUUGAAGUUCUAUCAGAAUGAAUUCAAAAACCAGAUACAUACACAAACCAGUGAAUCAUUGAGGGAUGGACGAAGAAGAAAGGAAUUACUGCUGCCUAGUGCUACUACUUUCCAGGGUAGGCCUGGUAAAGUUACGUCAGUUUUUCAUAAAUGAAUGGGAUGCUUUGGGUGGAUUUGAUCCAUGGACUGACUGCAAUCAGAAUGGUACUGACCUGUUGACAAAGUAUACUUCACUUUCUUAUGAAAGAGCCAAAGUCCAGUCAGGUGACACAACGACAUGGGAUUUGUCUCUAUUUGUCAAAGCUCUGUUGAAAUCCAAACCUCCAUUUGUACCCAAAUCUAAUACUACUUUAGUUGCUGGUUUGGAAUGUUUGAAGGAAACAAGAAAUACUCUUUGCCAUACCGGCAGUGGUAAGAUUGAAUUGACAGAGUUUACCAAGCUGUACACUGAUGCUUGCAAUGCAUUACUGCUAAUUGGUGCUUCGUCUGUGGAAUUUAAUGAAGUUAAGAAUGGUAAGCAAAAAAGUUUUGAAAAAUAAAACCAUUCUGAUGUGAUAAUCUGUACUAUUAAUCAUUUAAUUAUAUCCAUUUUGAAAUCACAAGUGAAUCCUGCAAUCUGAUUGGUUCUUAGCAGGUUGAUUUCAGCCUAAAUCGCACCAUUUUUAAUUCUUAAUCGCACUCCUUUGAGGAGCCAAUCACAAUGCAAAACAAGUAAAAGGCAACCAAUCACAAUACAGGAUUGUGUGUGGUUAACCAAUCAAACUACAGCAAAAAGGACACACAAAAAGUACAUUUUUAGGUUUUACAGCAAAUAUUUUUAUGAAAAUAUAUGUGCAAAUUGGAUUAUUUUAGUUCUUACUUACAGUUUUAGAUGACAAUGUACUAUCUCGGUGUAAUUUUUCAUCAUUUGCUACUUCUAAAAACACUUCGAAAGUGUAAUUUACAGUCCAAAAAUGUCAGAAAUGUUCAACAAGGGAUGCAAGUUCAUGCAGCUCAGUUUGCAACUGCAACACAAACAAUUGAAGCCCGUCUAUGAAUGAAGAUUUCCAGGGCUUAUAAAUUAUGCAGACAUCCUUAGGCUUCAGGUCACUAUUAAGAACAAAGACAGCAACAAAACUUUGGAAAAUGUGGAUGAAUGUC